CGGCAGUGAGGAGACACCUACUGUGCUGAGCUCGGGUGAUGUGCCUUAUACGCUAUUCUGAGCCGACA